CAGCAAUUCCAGACAAGAUAGGAAAGAGCAAGGACUUUUCUCCCCCACCCUUCUUUUCCAUUACUAAAGAAUAUGAAAAUGUUGACUGAAUUAUUUAUGCCAGUACAAUCAUAUUAAGCAUAUUUAUGGUUACAUUUAGUUAGCAAAUUGUACCUCACAAAGGCACAGUCCUGUCAGGUAUGUAGUGAAAUGACUCUUAUGGCACAGCCAAUGCCUUAAAGGUGAUGACUUUCUUUUUCCUUUUCAAUAUCAUUCAGAAAUCAACCAGUCUAGAAUGGAGUAAUUGUUUGCUUCAGGGACUCACUUCAGUACAAUUCCAGUAGACGUUCAGAUUGAACUGAAAUGGGUCUUACAGCAAUGUAUUAGUAAAUAAAAUGAAUGCUUUUUUCACUACA